rnacentral:rRNA from 1 species
CUGGGAUUAGAUACCCCACUAUGCCUAGCCAUAAACAUAGAUAAACACGUACUUUUUUAUCCGCCCGGGUACUACGAGCAUCAGCUUAAAACCCAAAGGACUUGGCGGUGCUUUAGAUCCACCUAGAGGAGCCUGUUCUAGAACCGAUAAUCCCCGUUAAACCUCACCUUUCCUUGCCUAGUCCGCCUAUAUACCGCCGUCGCCAGCUUACUCUGUGAAGAGUCUGUAGUAAGCACAAUCGGUACUACCCAAAACGUCAGGUCGAGGUGUAGCGUAUGGAAAGGGAAGAAAUGGGCUACAUUCAAUAAUAAUAAUGAAUACGAACAUUAUCUUGAAACAGAUAAUUGAAGGAGGAUUUAGUAGUAAGCAGGGAAUAGAGCGCCCUGCUGAAACCGGCCCUGAAGCGCGCACACACCGCCCGUCACUCUCCCCAAGCUAAGACAAACUAAUUACUAAUAAAUAACAACUGUAAAGGGGAGGCAAGUCGUAACAUGGUAAGCGUACCGGAAGGUGCGCUUGG